GAGGAUCCGGACUGCUUUCUCUACCUUCGCUCCGCCAUUUCUCCCUCCCACCGUAUUCUUCGUUGCUCGGAUCAGAUUUCUUCAACUCCAUCUAGGGUUUCAUAUUCUUAAGUCUAGAACUCCAUUAUAGCCAAGUUCAGACGAAACUUUGAAGGUUUAGCGUCAUCAAAUUGGGCACUUUAAGUUGAAAAGGAGAAGGUUCUUAUUUUCGGUGUAUAUUUUGCAUCUGGAAAUUUAGCUGAUUAACAAUGUCGGUCACGGCAGGGGUUAGUGAUACUGUAAUUGCUGUUAGGGAUAAACUUAGAGGUAAAAUUGGACAAACAAAAGUUAAGAGGUACUGGCCUGGAAAGGCUCCUGAGUGGGCGGAUGAUGCUGAUGAAGAUGGCGAUAUUAGGAUGGCCAGGGCAGCAGCACUUGAGAAAGCAUUUCCAAGUCAGGAAGAUUCAAAUCUAUCUAGGAAGGAUGACCCUAGGUUGCGCCGUCUAGCUGAGAGUAGGAUAGAUAAUCGGGAGGAGAUCAGAGCUGAUCAUCGACGUAUUCGCCAAGCUGAGAUUGUUUCAACCAUUGAAGAG
rnacentral:misc_RNA from 1 species